CUUCAGUGAUGAUACGAUGACGAGUCAGAAGGGAUGUCCUUGUGCCAAGCACAGCCUGGUCAGUGCCACGUUCUGUGGUGCUGUACUAAAGGCUGCCUUGGGCAGGAUGUCCUCCUCAUUGGUUGAUUCAGAGGCAUUUGUCUGAGAAGG
rnacentral:snoRNA from 1 species